CCCAGUCUCCACUGUCUGAAUCUCUGAUAGAGUUCACUGAUCCUGCUAUGAACAGAGUGGCUACAGACAUCUUCCUAUCGGUGAUGCGUUUUAUGGGAGACCACCCCCUGAAGGGCCUGACAGAACAAGAAGUAGUCAACACCUUCCUGAAGCUGAUUGGACAGUUUGGUCUGAUGAAGGAUGAAGCCUACUGUCAAAUCCUCAAACAGAUUACGGGAA